rnacentral:rRNA from 1 species
UAAUACUCCAUAGAUUAGAGACACUGGAAUGUUCUUUAGUCGAAAGUUCUGGCGCCUUAGGAUGGAUCUGCGGUCGAUUAGGUUGUUGUUGGGGUAACGGCCCAACAAGCCUGUAAUCGAUACGGGUUGUGGGAGCAAGAGCCCGGAGAUGGAAUCUGAGACACGAUUCCAGGCCCUACGGGGCGCAGCAGGCGCGAAAACUUUACAAUGCAGGAAACUGUGAUAAGGGAACUCCGAGUGCCCGUAUACGCGGGCUGUCCAGGUGUUUAAAAAUCAUCUGAAGAAAGGGCCGGGCAAGACCGGUGCCAGCCGCCGCGGUAAUACCGGCGGCUCGAGUGGUGGCCACUAUUAUUGGGCUUAAAGCGUCCGUAGCUGGACCGAUAAGUCUCUUGGGAAAUCCGCCGGCUCAACCGGCGGGCGUCUAAGGGAUACUGUUAGUCUAGGGACCGGGAGAGGUGAGAGGUACUCCGGGGGUAGGAGUGAAAUCCUGUAAUCCCCGGGGGACCACCGAUGGCGAAGGCAUCUCACCAGAACGGCUCCGACAGUGAGGGACGAAAGCUGGGGGAGCGAACCGGAUUAGAUACCCGGGUAGUCCCAGCCGUAACUAUGCGCGUUAGGUGUAC